AUGAGGGAAAUCUUUCAUGGCUCGUAAGUUUUUUCUCCUUGCUUCAAACUUUGUUAAAGUUUUUGUGAAUUUUCUUUUACAAUUGCAAAUUUGUCAUUAGUUCUGUGUGUUUCAUUGGAUAUAUAUUUUCUAUUCGAAAGCAACAUGAUUUUUACAGAAUUAUUAAUGCUUUUAUUUGGAAAGUUUCUACUACUAAAAUAAGUUACCUUUUCAUCAUGCCAGCUAUUGAUAACUUCCUUUCUUAUUAUGAUCAAUCUUGUUCUUUUCAUGCUUGGUAUUCAAUGUUCUGUUUUGAAUUUUGAAUUUUUUUGUCCUGAAAAGGGUAAAAACUAUAUGAGCUACUCGAAUGCUUUUGUUGUGGCAAUGGGAUUGAGGAUCCUGUGGAAAAUCUGUUAUCCCACAUACGAUUAGGAUAGGUAAUGUGCCCCUUAUAAUGUCUUAGGCUCUCCUUCUCCCAUUAGCUAGCUUUCGAGUACGUUAAGCUUGGCCUAUUUUCUUAGGAUGGUAUCGGAGCUUGUCUCUCAUAAGUAUUUCAUGCUCUGGGCGUGAGGGAUGUGUUACCUCAUAUUGGUUUGGAAAAGGGUAAUGUGCCUUGGGCACUCCUCCCCCUUGAGAUAGCUUUUGGAGGUUUCUUAUGAAAAUCUAUACCUUUCCUUGGGUGAGUAUUUGAUUCUUUUCUUACUUCUAUGAAAGGAUGUGAAUACCCACCCUUUAGAGGGUUGAAUCUCAUAUAUUGAUGUAUAAAACGACUGUACAAGAAUACAAGCAUUAGAGUCCUAUAUAAUUCUAAUGAGUAGAAUACAAAAUUAAGUAUGCAAUUAACUGCUUUUAUUUACUAAGAAUAGCAUGCUAGAGAUGUUGCCUCUUCUUAGUUUAUAAAAGCAAUAACAAUAUCAAGGAAAACAUAACCCUAUUGUAAUCACCUGUCUAAUGUCAGGCUGCAGCAGAAGCAGAACCUGCA
rnacentral:misc_RNA from 1 species